rnacentral:rRNA from 1 species
UACGAAGGGGGCUAGCGUUGCUCGGAAUUACUGGGCGUAAAGCGCACGUAGGCGGAUCGUUAAGUCGGGGGUGAAAUCCUGGAGCUCAACUCCAGAACUGCCUCCGAUACUGGCGAUCUCGAGUCCGGGAGAGGUGAGUGGAACUGCGAGUGUAGAGGUGAAAUUCGUAGAUAUUCGCAAGAACACCAGUGGCGAAGGCGGCUCACUGGCCCGGUACUGACGCUGAGGUGCGAAAGCGUGGGGAGCAAACAGG